rnacentral:rRNA from 1 species
AUUGAACGCUGGCGGCAGGCCUAACACAUGCAAGUCGAGCGAGCGGCGGACGGGUGAGUAAUGUCUGGGAAACUGCCUGAUGGAGGGGGAUAACUACUGGAAACGGUAGCUAAUACCGCAUACCAUCAGAUGUGCCCAGAUGGGAUUAGCUAGUAGGUGGGGUAACGGCUCACCUAGGCGACGACCCCUAGCUGGUCUGAGAGGAUGACUAGCCAUACGGGAACUGAGACACGGCCCAGACUCCGACGGGAGGAAGCAGUGGGGAAUAUUGCACAAUGGGCGCAAGGCGGAUGCAGCCAUGCCGCGGGUGUGAAGAAGGCCUUCGGGUUGGAAAGCAAUUUCAGCGGGGAGGCGGUACCCGAAGAAGAAGCACCGGCUAACUCCGUGCCAGCCGCCGCGGUAAUAC